rnacentral:rRNA from 1 species
GACGAACGCUGGCGGCGUGCCUAAUGCAUGCAAGUCGCACGCGGCACCUUCGGGUGCUGAGUGGCGAACGGCGGAGGAACACGGGGGGACCUGUCCGGAAGUGGGGGACAACACCGCGAAAGCGGUACGAAUCCCGCAUACGCUCUGAGGAGGAAAGCCGAAAGGCGCUCCCGGGUGGGCCUGCGGCCCAUCAGGUUGUUGGUGUGGUAGCUGCCUACCAAGCCAAUGACGGGGCGCUGGUCUGUGAGGACGACCAGCCAGAGUGGGACUGGGACACGGCCCAGACUCCUACGGGAGGCAGCAGAAAGGAAUUUUAGGCAAUGGGCGCAAGCAUGAACGAGCAACGGAGCGGGAAGGAAGCCGGCCUGCGGGUUGUAAACUGCUUUUGAUAGGGAUGAUAACAGACAGUACCUGGCGAAUAAGCACCGGCUAACUAUGUG